rnacentral:rRNA from 1 species
UACGAACUGUGCAAACGUUAUUCGGAAUCACUGGGCUUAAAGGGUGCGUAGGCGGCUGUCUAAGCAGGGUGUGAAAGCCCCCGGCUCAACCGGGGAAUUGCGCCCUAAACUGACGAGCUGGAGUGGGACAGGGGUGUGUGGAACUUCCGGUGGAGCGGUGAAAUGUGUUGAUAUCGGAAGGAACGCCGGUGGCGAAAGCGACACACUGGGUCUCAACUGACGCUGAGGCACGAAAGCCAGGGGAGCGAACGGG